UACGUAGGGGGCUAGCGUUGUCCGGAAUCAUUGGGCGUAAAGCGCGUGUAGGCGGUCCGGUAAGUCCGCUGUGAAAGUCGAGGGCUCAACCCUCGAAUGCCGGUGGAUACUGUCGGGCUUGAGUACGGGAGAGGCGAGUGGAAUUCCUGGUGUAGCGGUGAAAUGCGUAGAUAUCUGGAGGAACACCGGUGGCGAAGGCGGCGUUCUGGACUGCAACUGACACUGAGGAACGAAAGCCAGGGGAGCGAACGGG
rnacentral:rRNA from 1 species